rnacentral:rRNA from 1 species
UACAGAGGUGGCAAGCGUUGUUCGGAAUUACUGGGCGUAAAGGGCUCGUAGGCGGCCAACUAAGUCGGAUGUGAAAUCCCCAGGCUCAACCUGGGAACUGCAUCCGAUACUGGAUGGCUUGAAUCCGGGAGAGGGAUGCAGAAUUCCAGGUGUAGCGGUGAAAUGCGUAGAUAUCUGGAGGAAUACCGGUGGCGAAGGCGGCAUCCUGGACCGGCAUUGACGCUGAGGAGCGAAAGCUAGGGGAGCAAACGGG